rfam:Salmo salar isolate Sally breed double haploid chromosome ssa13, whole genome shotgun sequence.
UAGCUCAGUUGGUAGAGCAUGGUGUUUGCAACGCCAGGGUUGUGGGUUCUAUUCCCAC